ACGGCAGAAAGCCUAGUGAGUGACCAGUACCCAUCACGAGCUCCUGUCAUAGCAGAAUAGUCAACCGCAAACCUACAGCUCAUACCCCAAAGGACACAACAACAAAAUUAAAAAAAACAAAUAGACCUCCUCUGCCUAGAAUAAAUUUCUACACCAGC